rnacentral:misc_RNA from 1 species
AAAGUCGUAACAAGGUCUCCGUUGGUGAACCAGCGGAGGGAUCAUUAAAAAGGGUCCAAAGACUCCAAAAACCUACCGUGCUCCCAAUGUGGAAAACAGGAAAGCCCUCGCUGGCACUAGUCAUCUGAGAACAGAAAUGCGCCCCGGCGCAAAAAAAACAAAAACAAAUCACAACCCAUAACAAUGGAUCUCUUGGCUCUG